rnacentral:rRNA from 1 species
CCAAUAGCGUAUAUUAAAGUUGUUGCAGUUAAAAAGCUCGUAGUUGAACUUCGGGGUUUGCUCAUUGGUCAGGCUUAAUUGUCUGUACUGGUGGGAUAAAUCUCUACCUUCUGAGGAACUUUCAUGCCAUUUAUUUGGUGUGAUGGGAAAUCAGGACUGUUACUUUGAAAAAAUUAGAGUGUUUAAAGCAGACUAACGUCUGAAUACAUUAGCAUGGAAUAAUGAAAUAGGACGGACUGAUUCUAUUUCGUUGGUUUCUAGGAUCACCGUAAUGAUUAAUAGGGAUAGUUGGGGGCAUUAGUAUUCAAUUGUCAGAGGUGAAAUUCUUGGAUUUAUUGAAGACUAACUACUGCGAAAGCAUUUGCCAAGGAUGUUUUCAUUAAUCAAGAACGAAAGUUAGGGGAUCGAAGACGAUCAGAUACCGUCGUAGUCUUAACCAUAAACUAUGCCGACUAGGGAUCGGACGAAGUUAAUUUUAUAAUGACGCGUUCGGCACCUUACA